rnacentral:lncRNA from 1 species
UCAUUGACAAAAUUCUCCUGAUUUGCUCAUAGUUACGGUAUCAACUUGGGUUGGUGCCCAUUUCCAUAUUGAAUCAUAUAGUUUUUUUGUGAUUAUAGUAUCAACCUAUGUUUUAGUCAUAGUUAUCUAUAUAGAGUUUGCAAAGUCUGUUUGGUAAUAACUGGCAUUUGCUGCUAAACUGCAGGGAAGGUAGUUGCAAAGUUUUGUGCCAAGUUUCUUCACCAGCAAGUUCUCAAGAAUGAAGCUUAUGCAGCUGGAGAUAUAGGAACUUCCGUUCAGAAAGCUUUUUUCAGGUAAUUUGAUUAACUGCUUAUGUCUUACCCCCUUUUCCUCUCUUAAAAUGUUUAUAUUGUUUUUGCUGAUAACAAAUAAAUAUAAUGCUUUCGAGUGUGGUGUCAUUGAAUGGGAGCCAAUGUUUGCAUGAUUAAUAACUGUACUUCGUGAUGCGAACAUUCAUUAUGCUAUAAAUUUUUUUUCAUCAUUAUUAUAUCUGCAGGUAUGUAUGUGUGUACAUGAACACAGUUGUAUCAUUGUUGUUCUCUUGGUUUUUGUUACAUGCGUACGAUGUUGGUGCUCAGUGGAGCAACUAGCAUCCUAAAUGCAUUGUGAAGAAUUUGGUACAAAAUAAAAAGGAACUCUUAUUGUGAUUAAUGCUGCUACCUUUAUCCCUCCAUUUUGAUGACAGAAACUCGCUUGUGGCCAGUAUUGUGUUUGUUUUCAUCAAGUUUGCCUUUCUUGCAGGAUGGAUGAGAUGAUGAAGGGACAAAGAGGA